rnacentral:sRNA from 1 species
UGGUAGAUGCACCCUGAUAACUCAUUUCCCUAGUUGGCUUAAGCUAACUAGGGUUUUUUUCU